GUUUGAUCCUGGCUCAGGAUGAACGCUGGCGGCGUGCUUAACACAUGCAAGUCGAACGAACCUUCGGGUUAGUGGCGGACGGGUGAGUAACGCGUGAGAAUCUGCCCUCAGGAGGGGGAUAACGGCUGGAAACGGCCGCUAAUACCCCAUAUGCCGAGAGGUGAAACGAAUUUCGCCUGAGGAUGAGCUCGCGUCUGAUUAGCUAGUUGGUGGGGUAAGAGCCUACCAAGGCAUCGAUCAGUAGCUGGUCUGAGAGGAUGAUCAGCCACACUGGGACUGAGACACGGCCCAGACUCCUACGGGAGGCAGCAGUGGGGAAUUUUCCGCAAUGGGCGAAAGCCUGACGGAGCAACGCCGCGUGAGGGAUGAAGGCCUCUGGGCUGUAAACCUCUUUUAUCAAGGAAGAAGAUCUGACGGUACUUGAUGAAUAAGCCACGGCUAAUUCCGUGCCAGCAGCCGCGGUAAU
rnacentral:rRNA from 1 species